UAAUUUAACUUGGGAGUCAGAACAUGGGUGAUAAGGUCCGUGUUCGAAAGGGAAACAGCCCAGACCACCAGCUAAGGUCCCAAAAUAUAUGUUAAGUGGAAAAGGAUGUGGCGUUGCCCAGACAACUAGGAUGUUGGCUUAGAAGCAGCCAUCAUUUAAAGAGUGCGUAAUAGCUCACUAGUCGAGUGACACUGCGCCGAAAAUGUACCGGGGCUAAACAUAUUACCGAAGCUGUGGAUUGUCCUUUGGACAAUGGUAGGAGAGCGUUCUAAGGGCGUUGAAGCAUGAUCGUAAGGACAUGUGGAGCGCUUAGAAGUGAGAAUGCCGGUGUGAGUAGCGAAAGACGGGUGAGAAUCCCGUCCACCGAUUGACUAAGGUUUCCAGAGGAAGGCUCGUCCGCUCUGGGUUAGUCGGGUCCUAAGCUGAGGCCGACAGGCGUAGGCGAUGGAUAACAGGUUGAUAUUCCUGUACCACCUAUAAUCGUUUUAAUCGAUGGGGGGACGCAGUAGGAUAGGCGAAGCGUGCGAUUGGAUUGCACGUCUAAGCAGUAAGGCUGAGUAUUAGGCAAAUCCGGUACUCGUUAAGGCUGAGCUGUGAUGGGGAGAAGACAUUGUGUCUUCGAGUCGUUGAUUUCACACUGCCGAGAAAAGCCUCUAGAUAGAAAAUAGGUGCCCGUACCGCAAACCGACACAGGUAGUCAAGAUGAGAAUUCUAAGGUGAGCGAGCGAACUCUCGUUAAGGAACUCGGCAAAAUGACCCCGUAACUUCGGGAGAAGGGGUGCUCUUUAGGGUUAACGCCCAGAAGAGCCGCAGUGAAUAGGCCCAAGCGACUGUUUAUCAAAAACACAGGUCUCUGCUAAACCGUAAGGUGAUGUAUAGGGGCUGACGCCUGCCCGGUGCUGGAAGGUUAAGAGGAGUGGUUAGCUUCUGCGAAGCUACGAAUCGAAGCCCCAGUAAACGGCGGCCGUAACUAUAACGGUCCUAAGGUAGCGAAAUUCCUUGUCGGGUAAGUUCCGACCCGCACGAAAGGCGUAACGAUUUGGGCACUGUCUCAACGAGAGACUCGGUGAAAUCAUAGUACCUGUGAAGAUGCAGGUUACCCGCGACAGGACGGAAAGACCCCGUGGAGCUUUACUGUAGCCUGAUAUUGAAAUUCGGCACAGCUUGUACAGGAUAGGUAGGAGCCUUUGAAACGUGAGCGCUAGCUUACGUGGAGGCGCUGGUGGGAUACUACCCUAGCUGUGUUGGCUUUCUAACCCGCACCACUUAUCGUGGUGGGAGACAGUGUCA
rnacentral:rRNA from 1 species